rnacentral:ribozyme from 1 species
ACUCGUCAGAUGAUUCAUUUGAUAGCAAUCAGAAAGAUGUUAUUGAUAGGGCAUUGAAAGAUGGUAAGGCAGUUACUUUACCAACAGGUCAGAAGGUUGUAAUCCUUCCCGAUGCCGUGAAU